rnacentral:rRNA from 1 species
AGAGUUUGAUCCUGGCUCAGAUUGAACGCUGGCGGGCAGGCCUAACACAUGCAAGUCGAGCGGAUGACGGGAGCUUGCUCCUUGAUUCAGCGGCGGACGGGUGAGUAAUGCCUAGGAAUCUGCCUGGUAGUGGGGGACAACGUUUCGAAAGGAACGCUAAUACCGCAUACGUCCUACGGGAGAAAGCAGGGGACCUUCGGGCCUUGCGCUAUCAGAUGAGCCUAGGUCGGAUUAGCUAGUUGGUGAGGUAAUGGCUCACCAAGGCGACGAUCCGUAACUGGUCUGAGAGGAUGAUCAGUCACACUGGAACUGAGACACGGUCCAGACUCCUACGGGAGGCAGCAGUGGGGAAUAUUGGACAAUGGGCGAAAGCCUGAUCCAGCCAUGCCGCGUGUGUGAAGAAGGUCUUCGGAUUGUAAAGCACUUUAAGUUGGGAGGAAGGGCAGUAAGCUAAUACCUUGCUGUUUUGACGUUACCGACAGAAUAAGCACCGGCUAACUCUGUGCCAGCAGCCGCGGU